UGGCCCUUAGUAACGGCGAGUGAAGCGGCAAAAGCUCAAAUUUGAAAUCUGGUACCUUCGGUGCCCGAGUUGUAAUUUGGAGAGGGCAACUUUGGGGCCGUUCCUUGUCUAUGUUCCUUGGAACAGGACGUCAUAGAGGGUGAGAAUCCCGUGUGGCGAGGAGUGCGGUUCUUUGUAAAGUGCCUUCGAAGAGUCGAGUUGUUUGGGAAUGCAGCUCUAAGUGGGUGGUAAAUUCCAUCUAAAGCUAAAUAUUGGCGAGAGACCGAUAGCGAACAAGUACAGUGAUGGAAAGAUGAAAAGAACUUUGAAAAGAGAGUGAAAAAGUACGUGAAAUUGUUGAAAGGGAAGGGCAUUUGAUCAGACAUGGUGUUUUGUGCCCUCUGCUCCUUGUGGGUAGGGGAAUCUCGCAUUUCACUGGGCCAGCAUCAGUUUUGGUGGCAGGAUAAAUCCAUAGGAAUGUAGCUUGCCUCGGUAAGUAUUAUAGCCUGUGGGAAUACUGCCAGCUGGGACUGAGGACUGCGACGUAAGUCAAGGAUGCUGGCAUAAUGGUUAUAUGCCGCCCGUCUUGAAAACACGGACCA
rnacentral:rRNA from 1 species